AGCAGAUUAACACCUUCAAAAAGGAGAACAUGAUUCAAGGAUCUUAGGUUGGAAUUAAGUUGUCCUGAGAAGUGUCAGGUAUCCAUUCUUUAUGUUCUCCUACGCAGUGAAGGGCACUAGAAAGACUACAAAAUGAAUUAAUAUUUUGUUUUGAAUAGGUAAAAACAAACAAACAAACAAACAAAAAACAACUAAACACAACUACACAACUUUGUGAUGGAACUCCUGCAAUUUUUUUUUUUUUUUUUUUUUUUUUUUUUUUUUUUUUUUUUUUUUUUUUUUUUUUUUUGUUUUUUUUUUUUUUUUUUUUUUUUUUUUUUUUUUUUUUUUUUUUUUUUUUUUGUAUUUUUUUUUUUUUUUUUUUUUCAGUAAU
rnacentral:lncRNA from 1 species